rnacentral:rRNA from 1 species
AUGGCCAUACCACCCUAAACACACCUGCUCUCAUCUGAUCUCAGAAACUAAGCAGGGUCAGGCCUGGUUAGUACUUGGAUGGAAGACCUAUCUCAAGGUGAAAGGAGAUAACCAAC